rnacentral:rRNA from 1 species
GCUGAAAGCAUCUAAGCACGAAACUUGCCCCGAGAUGAGUUCUCCCUGAGACUUUAGGUCUCCUGAAGGAACGUUGAAGACGACGACGUUGAUAGGCCGGGUGUGUAAGCGCAGCGAUGCGUUGAGCUAACCGGUACUAAUGAACCGUGAGGCUUAACCUU